UAUGGCCAUACUACCCUGAACACGCCAUCUCAUCUAAUUUCAGAAGCUAAGCAGGGUCAGGUCUGGUUAGUACUUGGAAUAGGAGAACCUGGCAUGGCUGAGC
rnacentral:rRNA from 1 species